rnacentral:other from 1 species
CGCCCCCUGCCGUGCGCGACACGGGCCUUAUAUUUCCGAACCGAUAGCUUCCUGAGGUUGCGGAUCCACGUGUCACUGUUGUGAUCGUCCCACGCCUGGCGUGCCGGACGAACCUGAUGUGACCGGUACGCAACCACCCUGUUUGGCGGGGUUCGGGAGCGGGUCCACCGGCAUGCGCGGGGGGCAC